rnacentral:tRNA from 1 species
GGAGGAGUGACCGAGCUGGUUUAAGGAGCGCGAUUGGAAAUCGCGUGUGGGCGAAAGUCCACCGGGGGUUCGAAUCCCCCCUCCUCCG